rnacentral:piRNA from 1 species
UGGGUCACUGGGAAGAAGCAGCUC